CCUCGUUGUAACGACAAAAUGUGUUUUAUUAGUUGAUUUUAUGUGUUACAGCGUUCAACACACACAAUGCAAAAGGGCAUUUGAUGUAAAAAAAUUUAAAAAAAUGAAAAAUAAGUAAUUGAAACUGAAAAUCAGAAAGUAUUAAAUCACUCAGCAUUAGUAGUCGGCCUGGAACACACCCGUAAUCUGACAGGACUACGACACAGGCUUGGUAGUCGGCCUGGAACACACCCGUAAUCUGACAGGACUACGACACAGGCUUGGUAGUCGGCCUGGAACACACCCGUAAUCUGACAGGACUACGACACAGGCUUGGUAGUCGGCCUGGAACACACCCGUAAUCUGACAGGACUACGACACAGGCUUGGUAGUCGGCCUGGAACACAUGUCAAAAAUGUUAUAAAAUGAUUUGCAUUUUAAUGAGGGAAAUAAGUAUUUGACCCCCUCUCAAUCAGAAAGAAUUCUGGCUCCCAGGUGUCUUUUAUACAGGUAACGAGCUGAGAUUAGGAGCACACUCUUAAAGGGAGAAUGUGUGUGUGUGUGAGUUCUAGAACGCGUGUGAGAGUUCUAGAAUGCGUGUGUGUGAGUUCUAGAAUGUGCGUGUGUGAGUUCUAGAAUGCGUGUGAGAGUUCUAGAAUGCGUGUGUGAGUUCUAGAAUGCGCGUGUGUGAGUUCUAGAAUGUGCGUGUGUGAGUUCUAGAAUGCGUGUGUGAGUUCUAGAAUGCGUGUGAGAGGUCUAGAAUGCGUGUGUGAGUUCUAGAAUGCGUGUGAGAGGUCUAGAAUGCGUGUGUGAGUUCUAGAAUGCGUGUGAGAGGUCUAGAAUGCGUGUGAGAGUUCUAGAAUGCGUGUGAGAGUUCUAGAAUGCGUGUGUGAGUUCUAGAAUGCGUGUGAGAGGUCUAGAAUGCGUGUGUGAGUUCUAGAAUGCGUGUGUGAGUUCUAGAAUGCGUGUGAG
rnacentral:lncRNA from 1 species